UUGGCAGCCUGCGCAAUCACAAUUUUCGUACGGUUUCACUCCCCUCCCGAUAUUCUCUCACCCCAUCCGAUCAGGGGGAGCGCUGCAGCGACGGGAAGACCUACUCCAGCCGCCGCUGUUGUCCCCGGGCAGUGCCGGUGGCGUCCUGAGGGCACCAAGACGUUGAGGAGGACUGCUACCUCGACUACAUCACCCCUGCAUCACGCCUGCAUCGAGCAGGCAAUCAUGUCCACUGCUGUGACAUCUUGCGCUCCAUUCCGGUCCGACACGAUCGAACCACUUACGGGGAGUAACUUCCCUCGUUGGAAGUCCCAAGUCGAAUUAUGUUUGGGUUGUAAUGAAUUUUACUAUGCCUUGAGGGAAGAAAAACCUGUGGCACCUGUUGCAGAUGCUACAGGGUAUGCAGAACUCAAGAAGAAUUAUGAUGUUAAGAUGGAAAAGUGGAACAAGUCCAAC
rnacentral:rRNA from 1 species